GCGAUCGAACUAAAAAUGUUGGUGUUGUGGAUGUUGAGUACAUAAUCCAUUAUGGUCGCCCUACAUUGGGAGGCUCAGAUGAAAAUGAGGUGAGGAGAGAAUCGUACAACGAAAUGAAGGUGUUCAAAAGGAAAUGGGAACGAGCUGUCAAGGAAAAAAAAGGGUCUGAUGGAUAAAGGGCAGAAGACAAUCUACUAGUGAUGAAUCUUAUGUUAUUUGUUUUUGGGAAUCACUUGACAUUUAGGUUGAAUAACUUAAAUAUGUAGCAUUUUGUUUUUGAGACAUCUUGUGAAUUUGUUGGAAGAAUGUUAGAUAUAUG